UGGGAAUUAGCGCAGUUUGGUAGCGUACUUGAUUUGGGAUCAAGGGGCCACGGGUUCGAAUCCCGUAUUCCCAA
rnacentral:tRNA from 1 species